GUGAUAAGCAUCCUGAUUUAGAAAUGUUGAAAUAACUGCAUCUGAGCAUCAAAGAAAGCAUCCCCACUUUGUAGACACAGAGACUGGCACAGCCAGAUUUACUGAUUUGCCCCAAAACUUCCCAGAUAGCAAGUGGCUUACCCAGACUUUCAACUGGAGUGGUCCGGCCUCAGAGCUGAGAAACAUUCAACUCUCUGCAUCUUCAGUGAUCUCUCCGUUUCUGCUGGUGGAGACCUCAUUCACAGCACCACUUGUUGAAGAGACUGUCUUUCCACCAUUGUGUCGUCUUGCCUCCUUUGUCACGGACUGACUGACCACAGAACUGUUACAGGUGACUUUUACAGUCUUCCAGGGGAUUGAACUCUUUUCCAUUAGAAGAACUUUGUAAAGACAAGAGCAAAUGGGAAUCCAAGGGUGCAGUGUCUGGUGAAAACGGUGGAUCAAUCAGAACUUCCCAGCCAAGUUGUAACAGUUUUGCCUGGUCAUCAAAGAAACAUGCAGCCUUGCCUUAUCCUGAUGGAAGAC
ensembl:lncRNA